rnacentral:rRNA from 1 species
GGGUUGUGAGGUUAAGCGACUAAGCGUACACGGUGGAUGCCCUGGCAGUCAGAGGCGAUGAAGGACGUGCUAAUCUGCGAUAAGCGUCGGUAAGGUGAUAUGAACCGUUAUAACCGGCGAUUUCCGAAUGGGGAAACCCAGUGUGAUUCGUCACACUAUCAUUAACUGAAUCCAUAGGUUAAUGAGGCGAACCGGGGGAACUGAAACAUCUAAGUACCCCGAGGAAAAGAAAUCAACCGAGAUUCCCCCAGUAGCGGCGAGCGAACGGGGAGCAGCCCAGAGCCUGAAUCAGUGUGUGUGUUAGUGGAAGCGUCUGGAAAGGCGUGCGAUACAGGGUGACAGCCCCGUACACAAAAAUGCACAUAUUGUGAGCUCGAUGAGUAGGGCGGGACACGUGGUAUCCUGUCUGAAUAUGGGGGGACCAUCCUCCAAGGCUAAAUACUCCUGACUGACCGAUAGUGAACCAGUACCGUGAGGGAAAGGCGAAAAGAACCCCGGCGAGGGGAGUGAAAAAGAACCUGAAACCGUGUACGUACAAGCAGUGGGAGCACGCUUAGGCGUGUGACUGCGUACCUUUUGUAUAAUGGGUCAGCGACUUAUAUUCUGUAGCAAGGUUAACCGAAUAGGGGAGCCGAAGGGAAACCGAGUCUUAACUGGGCGUUAAGUUGCAGGGUAUAGACCCGAAACCCGGUGAUCUAGCCAUGGGCAGGUUGAAGGUUGGGUAACACUAACUGGAGGACCGAACCGACUAAUGUUGAAAAAUUAGCGGAUGACUUGUGGCUGGGGGUGAAAGGCCAAUCAAACCGGGAGAUAGCUGGUUCUCCCCGAAAGCUAUUUAGGUAGCGCCUCGUGAAUUCAUCUCCGGGGGUAGAGCACUGUUUCGGCAAGGGGGUCAUCCCGACUUACCAACCCGAUGCAAACUGCGAAUACCGGAGAAUGUUAUCACGGGAGACACACGGCGGGUGCUAACGUCCGUCGUGAAGAGGGAAACAACCCAGACCGCCAGCUAAGGUCCCAAAGUCAUGGUUAAGUGGGAAACGAUGUGGGAAGGCCCAGACAGCCAGGAUGUUGGCUUAGAAGCAGCCAUCAUUUAAAGAAAGCGUAAUAGCUCACUGGUCGAGUCGGCCUGCGCGGAAGAUGUAACGGGGCUAAACCAUG